rnacentral:rRNA from 1 species
GACGAACGCUGGCGGCGUGCUUAACACAUGCAAGUCGAACGGAAAGGCCUGCUUUCCCUUGUGGAUUGCGGGUACUCGAGUGGCGAACGGGUGAGUAACACGUGAGUGAUCUGCCCCCAACUUGGGUAUAAGCCUGGGAAACUGGGUCUAAUUCCCGAUAGGACUGCAGGGUGGUGCCUGUGGUGGAAAACGAUUUUCUAGUGGUUGGGGAUGAGCUCGCGGCCUAUCAGCUUGUUGGUGGGGUAAUGGCCUACCAAGGCGGGGACGGGUAGCCGGCCGGGGAGGGGGGACGGCCACAUUGGGACUGGGAUACGGCCCAGACUCCUACGGGAGGCAGCAGUGGGGAAUAUUGCACAAUGGGCGGAAGCCUGAUGCAGCGACGCCGCGUGGGGGAUGACGGCCUUCGGGUUGUAAACUCCUUUCGACCGCGAGGAAGCCACCUGGUUGGAAGGGUGGUGACGGUAGUGGUAGAAGAAGCACCGGCUAACUACGUG